GUUAUUAUAGUGUAAACCAUAAACACAUUACUUUUUCACUGUAAAAAUAAAGAAAUUUUAAAAACU
rnacentral:tRNA from 1 species